GGUAGAAUGGCUGAGUUAAAGGCAAUAAAUUGUAAAUUUAUUUAGGGAAUAUCAAAAUUUCUUUUACCA
rnacentral:tRNA from 1 species